CAGAGGGCUGGGAAGUUGGCCUACAAGGGCCAGGAGUAACUCCACACAUUCUUCCCACACCAAACCCCACACCUCUCUUAACAUUUCCUAAACUGCAUCCUUUAAAAGCUGGCAAAUUUUAAGUCAGGAACUUGGUCGUGCCAGCCAGUUGGAAACAUUGACCCGUCUUCCCUUCGGAUUGUGGCAGAUAGGAUGGGUCAGUGGAUAAGUUUGCUUGCCAAGGAGCCUGAGAGAGAAGCCUGAGUCCAGUUCCUAGAACUCACAUGGUGGAGAGAACUGACUUCUGAAAGUUGUCCUCUGAUAUUCACGUGAGUAUGUGCUACUCUUUGUGUGUUUACACACACACACACACACACACACACUGUUUUUUGAAAAAAAUAUAGGGUUGGAGAGAUGGCUCAGCAGUUAAGAGCUCUUGGUGCUCUUGCAAAGAACCCACGUUUGGUUCCCAGCACCCAUAUAACAGUUCCUUACUGCCUCU
rnacentral:lncRNA from 1 species